rnacentral:rRNA from 1 species
CCCUUAGAUGUUCUGGGCCGCACGCGCGCUACACUGAUGCAUUCAACGAGUCUAAAACCUGCUCUGAUAGGGGUGGGUAAUCUUUUGAAUGUGCAUCGUGAUUGGGAUAGAUGAUUGAAAUUUUUCAUCUUCAACGAGGAAUGCCUAGUAAACGCAAGUCAUCAGCUUGCAUUGAUUACGUCCCUGCCCUUUGUACACACCGCCCGUCGCUCCUACCGAUUGAAUGAUCCGAUGAAUAUCAUGGAUUGAGGAUGCAAGUAGGUUCACCUAUCUUCAUCUUCGAGAAGUGAAGUAAAUCUUAUCAUUUAGAGGAAGGAGAAGUCGUAACA